rnacentral:lncRNA from 1 species
GUGUUUGCUGCUGAAGUGGAGAAGCUGAAGGCUGACCAGUUCAAGCCAUCGGAGCAGGUGACCCUGGAGCCCUUUGAGCGCGACCACGCCUGCGUCGUUGGUGGCUACAGGAUGCCCAAGAAGCAAAAGGCUACUUAAAAAAAGAAGAGAUGGUGUUUGAUGCUUGCACUACUAGAUGAUAUGUUGUAUCCCGGAGAAAGAACUUUCGCAAGUGUUGGGGUUUUGGAGCAGCUAUAUUGAACUUGUGCUGUGUUUGCAGCAAUUUAGUCGAAUCAAGAGAUAGUCGUGGCUUUGUUGAUGUUGUUUUCCUUGGGUGCGCCUAAUGUUUCCAGUAGCUAUGGUCUUCUGUUUUGAUGCAAUCUUCACUGGUCACGGGCGUUUUCUGGUAUGUGGUGAGUACAAGGAUUUCAAAUUGUUGGUUGUAGCCAGAUGGUAGGCAUUGGCCGUCAGAAACGCGACGCAGGGCAUGGUUUUGUUGUUGCCUGUUGCGUUCUUUUUGGAGCUGUAGGAUUGCUUGUGUUGAGUGAAGUUCCUUUUCACUUGCAAGAAGGGUAUCGUUUCCGUUCCGGUUGAGAGUGGAGUGUAACGUAACCAGGUACAAAUACCAUUACUUUUCUUUUUCUUUUUUCUGAAGUAAGAUAAAAUUUAAUUUAACGUGAAAAGAAGUAAAAGAUCUGCAUAGCACUGGCAGCAACUGGUGACAACCAGUGGGCCAGGCCCGGAAAAGGGAUGGGCCUAGAGUCCCGUCAUGUCUGAGGCGGCGGUGUCAGUCAGUAGAAAAUAUCUCUUCCUAUCCUGAUCGGCUGCCUGCUCUCCCUUUCCCCACUUCGCCUUCUUCCCCUCUGCGAUCGCCGCCGCGGAGAAGCAACCGCCCCUCCCCUCCUCGCUGGUACGUACGGCUGCUGAGCCCUCCUCACCCUCCCGAUCCCCUCUCCGGCAGCGCUCCGAUCCCCCGCCUCCCUCCCCUCCCCUUCCCCAUGCAUCAACCAACUGUGGAAUCCCCUCUCCUGCAGCGCUCCGAUCCCCCGCCUCCCUUCCCUCCCCUUCCCCCAUGCAUCAACCAACUGUGGAAUCCCGCCGCCUCCUUCAUCGGUUGUUUGUUGGCUUGGAUUCAUACGCGCCCCCAGUCUCUUUUGAUUCUCUCGACCAGUCGGCGUCGUUCUGGUGCUCGCAGUCUUCUUUUAUUUGCUGCUAAUAAUCAAUCGCCUGUGCUGCUUGCUGCAUAGUGGGGAAGUAUAUGGUUGACUUACUGCUUGCCUCGCCCGUAUCGUCGUCGUGCUGCUACUACCUUUACUCGAUUUCCAUUCUGCCGUGGCGGUGCAAGUAAAUCUGUACCAACCAGUGGUCUGUACACACUGUGCACAUACUUUUAUCCUAACUCAUAAACUGUUGCGACGACCUAUGGUUGAUGGGCAAAUAGACGUCAAUGGCGUGUCAGAAUCUGCCCUUUUGCUACAUGACACCAUUCCAGACUCAUCAGCUACUACCACCAGCAAUGACGAAAUCUACAAGUUUUCAUUUUCUGAAUACCUUAGGGUGCCUGAAUGGACUGCAUGUACUCUGCUGCUAGUUAUCCGCAUUUCUACCAAGUGGCUAUUUUGUUGGAGCAGUAAGAGAAAUUCGGUCCGUUGCCCACCACUUUCCUUCUAUCAAGAUUCAACUUCAAAUUCCAAUUCAAGUUCUAAUUCUGCAGGCAAACCUUGCCUAACCUUUCUUCUUUUUGAAACAUUAUUACUGCUUCCGCUACUUGCCCCAGCUUCUAUUUUAUAGAGAUCUGCACUGCAAAGGAUGUGCAUGUUGCAUUCUCUAAGACUCUAACCUAAUUUCCUUUUCACAUGUUACCGCCUUCUACUAAUUGGAUUCCCUGAUUUGAUCACAGAGAAGAAGAAGAAGAUGGAGCCUGACCAGAGUGGCACCGAGCAGACCUCUCCACGUGGGAAUGAUUGGGAAGUCGUGCAACUCACUGCAUCAGCAUACGCAGCUGCACCUGCACCGAGGAGAUCUGAACCUUCUGAGGAGGCUGAAGCUAAGAAAUACGGCACCAAAGGGGAUGAUUCAGCAGCUGCCCUGUUGAUGUCUGGCCAUUUCUCCGUGUCCCAGAGUGAAGUUGAGAGCCUCCUCAUAGGCGCAGACAUCAAAGGACCGCACAAGGAGCUCUGCAGCCAAGAUGCAGUUUCUAACGAGGGCGAUGAAGAGAAAUACCAAGAAACUUGCAAGCAUAAAUUGGAGGGUGACCUACCCAGUAUUCCAUCCUUGGACAAAGGGAAAAAUGUUUCCUUGGGUGAUAUGGAGUUUGAUGAUGGCAAAGCAUUGCAGGGCAUGAGUUUGGUCGGGGAAGAGUCGGUUGGGUUCUCAUCACCUAUUUACAGCUCAAUUGAGGCUGAAAAGGAUUUAGGCCAAUCAGCUACGGAGAGUAGAAAUGAGAAGAAAACUGAGGAGUCAACUCUGCAUAUUGUGAACCCCAAAACCGGUUCAUCAAAGGUCGUUUCAUCUGGUGAACAGAACAAACCUGAUGGUUCAGGCCCACGGGAUGCAUGGUGGAAGAAGAAGAUUUUAUCUCUGUACAUGAAUGCAAAGGAAAGCAACAACUUCUGGCCUAUUGUUGCGGCUGCUGCUGCUGCUGCUGCUGGUUUGGUGGGCCUGGCAUAUUUUGGGCACCGCUGGCAUAAGGGCAAGUUGCAACUUCAGCUGGGGAAACAGCCACCUUCUUGCAACAAGGAGGUAAUUACAAAACACACCUUUUAUUUCUAGCGACAGGAAGCAUGUUGACUACGACCCAGGAGUGCCUGUAAUGACUAUAACCAGUGACCAUGAAAUUUGUCUAAAAUCACACACAAAUAAAGACUUGGUUUAUCCUCAUCUGAUUAUGUCCACCUUAGCUACUGUCCUUAUAACCAGGUACUUGCAGUGUUCUUGAUGUGAACAUGCAAUAUCAACUUAAAUGUGGAUACCUGUUUGCAAAAUAGUGCGUGUUCAUAAGAGCGUAAAUGUCUAUUUCUGGCAAGGACUAAGUAGCUAUGGAGUAUGUCCAAUUAACUUUGUUGUUCUUGGAUUAUAUAACCAUUCUAUAGUUUGCAUUUUGUUGAUGUGCCAUUGCAGAACUGAGUCAAACCAGCCUGUUGGUUUUUUUCCCCUGUUUUCUGAUAUUUGUUUCUUACUGCUUCAUCAUAAGUUGCUUAAGUUGUACUUGCCAGUAAUGAGGAAUUCACUAGGCAUGCGCAUCUUACAUGCUACGAUUCCAGAAUUUCGAAAUAUGUUGAUUGUGCCAAGUCCUAUCUAUUUUAUUUACUAGCGUGCUAGUGUUUCUGCUGUGGUAGCUAUGUGUUUACAUGUUUUCUCAAUUCCAUCAGGCUGCUGAGUGCUAAUGAAAGCAGAAUGUGUCUACAUGUUUUCUCAAUUGCAUCAGGCUGCUGAGUGCUAAUGAAAGCACACUCUUGUUUUCAUUCCAGAAAAUCAAUGAUGCUGUUGGACCGUUAAACCGUAUCAAGGACAUCCUUGUUGCUGGCAAUCACCCAAGUCCCGGUAUCCAUGGGCAUGCCCGAGCAAGCGGAAUGUGAUCAGUCUGGUAAACCCAUCAUCGACAUCUGGAUCCAUCCAUAUUGCUCGAGACAUGGGGCCCAAAAUGAAGAGCAUGAGGGCAAAUCUGGAGCAAAAUGUUUCAAGAAGGCUCGAGGAUGUUUGAUGGCUGUGUAAAUUCCAAAACCCCUUUUGGAUAUGUAAAUAUUAUGAGUUUAGUGUGGUUGCCCUUUUCUUUCGGUCAUUUCAUCGAACCUCCAGUGGUUUCCUUCCGCACCGGCAUCAACUGCUGUGCUGUGUACCCACCAUGCAUAUUAACUGUGUCUGUCUUGUUUGGGGUUGCUCAUGCAUAUGAAUUAUGAUGACUACGGUCUGGUAUUCCUAUGCUUUGGCGUGCAACUGUGACUCCAGCCCAUCGGUGUAUUGCAGAAAAUGCCGGGGAUUUUAGCAAAAUUUUCUGGGCGUCGUCUGGAGUGGCACAAAGGGUCGUCGACUGGGCUUUACCGAUUUGUGGUUGUUUGUAGGAGGAGGAUAUGCAUCAAUGACCAAUACAUGUAUGUCCCCCAUCUUGUUGCUCCGAAUGAUGCUUGGACUAGAGAUGCUAUCCAGCUUUUACCAGAAACAGAAAAAGGAAAAGAAAUUGAAUAUUGGCAGAGGGAUUAUCAUAUCUUGUAAUCAAUGGCGUGUACGUAGGAACAAGACUAAACAAUGGCGUGCCAAUCACUGCUACGCGUUAUGCACUGAUGCCCCUAAACCCUAAAUAAAGUUGGUGGAGUCAACUUGUCCAACUGCAGCCACUCAAGACAAGAAACUACUAGCUACAACAAAAAUAGAGGAAAGCCAGCCAAGCCCAGCCUCGGCCCGGCUCUGCUUCAUUAGACUAUUAGCGUCUUCUUUAAGAGCAUGCAGCUUGCAUAUCAAGAAAGCGCCAAAAACCGGAGUAAGAAGUCAUCUCAUAACAUGGUACAGUGCACAUUCAUCCCUGGACAACCAACCACACCCCCAAAUGCUCAACUACCUGCUAAUAAACUGCAGUUGUGAGUUAACAUUCACUGCUCCCCCGCCUUUUGGAAGCCAUAAUAGGGCACAUGCACUCAGCCGCGUGAAGAAGUUAGCUCUUUGAUGCGACCAAAGCAAGAGCUUUGGAACCAAACAAACUAGAAACGAUUUUGAUCUUUAGAACUAUUCCAAAUUGUAGGUCAUUCCAACUUUCUUGGUAUAAUAAAUAUUAGUACUUCAUCGUAUAAAUUUGAUCAAACUUGAGAUGCUCCGACUCUCCAAAAAAGUUGGAAUGACUUAUAAUUUGGAACGGAGGAAGUAUUACAAAAGGAAUAUUAAUUGUCUUAUUAGCUAUACUGUUAGGCUAAUUCUAGUUCAUUGUAUCGUACUUAUUUGACACGAAAAUAACCUCAUCGAAACCUGAACUAUAUUAUAUGAUUGCCACACAUAAUUUUUAGAAGACAUGGCAUAGAGUUAAUAAAAAGAGAGUAAAGUUAUCUCUUCAUGAAAAUAUAUCUUAGGCACGAAAUUCACCUCAUCGUACAAGUAGCCCAUAAUUCCAAACCGUAUGUAGUUGAAAUAGUACCACUCAUGAGCUCAUCCCGUCCCAAAAGAGAUAUAUCCCCUAUACCAUAAACAUGAAUUGUAUCCGUCUACGUUCUGUAUAUCCGUUCUUCGACCCCCAUACCAGGAAACUUGUAUAUCCGUUCCUCGAUCCCGUCAUACUAAGAACCUUAUAUGACAUUGGUUGCAUCACAAAGUGGCACAUGGAGCCGUCUGUUGGUUUUUUUUUUUCCAGCCUAAUCCAAAUUUGACAUGAUGUUUGAUUAGGACUAGUUUGGAUUUAGGUUAUGUGGUGGGAUCUAUGAAAAUCUUUCCUUACUUUGCCGUGCACAUCGCUUACUUCAGCACGUUAGGCGGCCAUCUCAAAUCGAGCUCGGAUCCAGCUUUAGCCAAGUAGUGGCUCUUCAGCGCCAAAUCAGUUACCCGCCUACAUCCCAAGUAAGAGCGUAUCCUAAUGUAAUCCACUUGUAUCAAUAGGAAUAUGAAGCCAUGCAAUCUUUCUCUUCCCUCCUUCUCUGUCCACGGUACCAAACAUGGGCUCCUGUAUCCAUUAUCCAAACGCCCACCUAAAGACUUGUAAUUAAACGGUUAAAAAAAAUUGAUAUCGCGGUCGUCUCUCCUCUUCCUCAGCUCCUCUCCGUAACCUUCCAAAAAGUCUCUCCUCUCCUUUCUCCCGUUCCUCUCUCCCAACCCUUUCUUUCCUGGCGGCGACGACUGGACGACCGGCGGCGACUGGGCGAGCGGCGCCAUCCUACGCCAGGCCUUCGUCGGACCCGUCGCCGGCGACGAGUACCAACUAGGUACGCCCUUCCGUUCCAUUCCCUGAUUCCCUUCCCUUCCCUUCCCGUUGUCCAAAUCGAGCUCCCCAAACCCUAAUGCAAGCCAAUUUUAUUCGGAUCUGACCCAAUUAUAAGUGUACGCAUGUAUUGCUUCGAUUCUUUGCAAAAAAUUAUCGGGUCCUAUACUGGAUCCGCUCCUGCAACUCGGUACCUUAGGUGAGGGUUUCUGCAAUUCCGUGAGAAUUCCCACGUCUCUUUCGGCCAAGUCGCGCAAGAUUUGCAUUUCUGGUUGUUAUAUCCGUUUACUGGAUGGUUCGGCUCCUCUGGAUUAACACAUAACCUCAAUCCCUGCAGGCUGAUUUGGUCGUCUUGAUUUCGUGGAAGUGAUCUGGCAACGGGGGGCUCCUUGUUGAGCAGACCGGAUCAUGCUUCUUGCAGUGUAAAAGCUUGGAUCUCCUAGGUGUGCCUUGGAGCGGAGAGGAUCGUGUGUUCUUACUCCUUGCUGCGACCAUCAUGCAGAGUGGGGGUGACAUGAGACCUGUGCACAACAGCGUUGACACAGUGAAUGCAGCGGCUGCAGCCAUUGUCACAGCGGAGAGCCGCACACAAGCUCCCCCAGAGCCGGUAUGUUCUUCAACACCUUACUGCAUGAUCCCUUUCUUUAUCAAUGCGACUGAUGCCCUGGUGGUGUUUUGGGAACCACGUCAAUUUAUAAAACGGUAUUCUUGUGUCACUGGAUUGAGUAGUUGGGCAUUUUCUGUAAUCAGUAGUGUUUCCAUACAGAUUGAGUAAUUUGGCUUAGAUUUAGUUUGUGCAUUAAAAGAUGUUCUUCUGAUCUCGGUAUUCUUCCUAGAAAGCGAAUGAAUAGUACCACAAUUUGCUAUUAUGUUGUAUGUGGGUUCGUGGUUUACCCCUGGAGAGAUAGAUGCUGCUCUAGAAUGUUGAUCUCAGGAUUCUUCCUAGAAAGUGAAUGAAUAGUACCACAGUUCGCUAUUAUAUAGUAUGUGUGUUCUUGUUUUAUCCUUGGCAAGAUAGAUGCUUCUCUAGAAUGCUUAUCCAUUUGUUUCUACAACUGCUUUUUAGUAUCUUCUUCACUUAGUUGAUUUGUUCUUACGUCUCAUGCAACAUGUGCCAUGGAGUGUACUUUUGAUUAUAUUGCUGCAGUUAGUUUUAUUGUUAAGAUGGGUAACAAAUGUUGACAAAACUUGGCUUGGAGUUUAUUUUGUGCAACUAAAUGGAUGUACUUCUGAUCUUAGGAUUAGAAAGUGAAUGAAUGGUAGGCAUGGUUUGUUACUAUGUAGUAUUUGUGAUUUUGUGUUCUUAUUGAUACAGAUGCAGCUCUAGAAUGCUGAUCUAUUUAUCUCUCUGUCUACUUGGUAGCAUCAAUGGAAAAAUUGUGUGCUACUUUCUUAUUCACUUAGUUGACCUUUAUUAUUCCUUUUGUUACAUUGUUUUAAAAUCUAUGAGAAAGUAUGAGCGCCUUUAUUUAAAAAAACGACAAAUGAAACCAAGUUUAGUCACCGCACUGGUUUUUUCUUGGAACUUCAACGAUGCUCUGUUUUUUCAUCGAGAAAAAUAUUUAUAUAGUGAGUACUACAUUUGACACUUUCAGAGUGCCAUGUUUGUAUAGUAUCAGCAUUGAAACUAUGCAUGAAAAUGGCAUUGUGAGCAAGGAGAGAUGCCUUAGAAAGAAAAGGGAAUAGUUGAAACAGUUAAGUUGAAUUAUUCAGUGGAUUAGAUGGGACAAAAAAGAUUCUUUCUUUGCUGGCCAUAUACCACCAGCUAGUUGUUUCUUUUUUUAUCCCCAACCUUAGAUACCCCUCUCUCCUUUUUCAGUACAUGCUGCUUUCAGUGUUUUUUUUUAUCUUGGUAUAUUUAUUAGUUCCCCUCUUUCAGCUUGUCUGUUUUUUUUUUGUUAAAGUAUGGUGCUUUGAUUCAAACCUUUGAUUGUCGAUCUCCAAGCCUCAUGAACUGUACCUUGCGGGACUGGUGUGGAUACAUUACAUGUGAUGCAUUUAUGUUUUAGCCUUCAUUUAUUUUUACAAUAUCAAUUGAUGCUCCAUGGUGAAGACAGGGUUUUAGAAUGUCUUUAAAAAAAUGUUUUUCUAUCCCAUAUAUUUUGCCAAGUAUGAUUCCCUCCUUUUUCCUUUCUCCAUCUACCACGGAGAUCUCUGUGUGUAACUUCUCUUAGCUUUGGUGAUUCAUUUGCUUUUAGUUUUAAGGAAAUCUGCGACUAUGACUCUUGGGCAUUUGAUUGACUCACCAAAAACUUAUUUGUCUGAGAUGUGUUGAACUCAUUGUACUGCUCUCUGGUUAACUAUUGCUUAUGGGUAUUUGGUUCUCUCCUGUUUAUACGUGUGAGUUGCCAUGUUUAUUGGCGAACUUCUAUGAGAAGCACAAUCAUCUCAUACCUGAUUCUUGAUUACACGUCACCAGUAUUAUGCUUUCCCUCUUUGCUAACUGCUUUUGAUUUUUUGCAGCGAAGGAAAUGGGCUGACCGUCUGAGCGUGUACUUCUGCUUUGGGUCUCAGAAGAAUGGUCGGCGCAUCAACCACGCUGCACUUGUCCCGGAACCCACAUCUCAAAGGACAGAUACACCUGCAGUAGAAAUUCCUGACCACCCACCGCCUCCUGUAUUCCCAUUUGUCGCACCUCCGUCCUCUCCAGCUUCCUUCCUCCAAUCAGAACCCACAUCUAUUGUACAAUCGCCAAGGAUCGGCGCUCCACCAUUUUCACCCCUCUCGCCAAACUCCCCAUCCCCCACAGGGCCACCAUCCAUCUUUGCUAUUGGGCCAUAUGCACAUGAGACACAGCUAGUCUCACCUCCAGUGUUCUCAGCCUUCACAACUGAACCAUCAACUGCUCCUUUCACUCCUCCACCGGAGUCUGUCCAUUUGACAACCCCUUCUUCUCCAGAGGUCCCAUAUGCAAAGCUUCUGACUUCGAUCAACAACAGCAAGAAUGGUGAAACAGGGGAUCUUCAGUCAUAUCCGAAUUACCCAGACAGCCCAAUAGCGCGCCUGAUAUCUCCAAGCUCAGGUUGUUCUGGCACUUCCUCCCCAUUCCCUGACCCGGAGAUGCUGGCUUCCUCACACUACACAUUCCCCUCGUUCCCAGUUCGUGAGCCACCAAAGAUAUUGGAUGGAGAGGGUGUUGCAACACAGAAGUUGAUACCUCGCCAUAUGCGCAAUGGCGGUUCCAUUUUGGAUGGCCACAUUGCAGCCGCUGUUCCGGUUGCAGACUUCUCUGCCCGCCUUCAGCCCAACGAUCAUGCUAUGGAUCACCGGGUAUCAUUUGAGUUGACCGUGGAAGACGUGGCGCGCUGCCUAGAGAAGAAAACUGCUAUUUCUGGGGAUUCUGCGACAGCUUCUUUUCAUCUUGCACCCACCAGCAGUGGUGACCACAAGAGGGAGUCUAACGAUACAAGGGCGGGGCUAUACGUUGAUGAGACAUACCAUGACCUGCCUGAGAAAGCAAGGCGGUCCCUGUCCCUUCGCCUGGCCAAGGAGUUCAACUUCAACAACGUUGAUGCUGCCAAUGUGGAGCCAAGCGUGGGGUCUGACUGGUGGGCGAACGAGAAGGUUGCCGGGAUCACUUCGGAGCCGGAGAAAGGAUGGUCCUUCCACCCGGUGGCGCAGCCGGGGGUCAGCUAGCCCCUUUGCACACUGACCAUAAUCUUUCAGGAUGAUGAAGGAACGAGCUUCCGCUUCUUUUGCUGCUGCUUCGGUGCGUGGUGUUCGCAGAUAUUGCUGUGGGGUAUGCUAAACUUGCAGUUAGUGAUAAUCCAAAGUUAGAUAGUGAUUCGAAGUGAAGCUAAUUAAUACCAUGGUGAGAUAGUAAAGGAUUCUGGAGUCUCUGGUUAUUAUGUGGAACCGCAAAACUUGCGUCCUGUCUGUGUCUGUAUCCCGUGUACUGACUUGGUGUCCUGCUGAUACUGUUUGUGUCUGUACAUAAUAAGCUGCUGUAGUCGAAAAGGGUACAACUCCUUGGUUUGGUCAAGUGUUGCGUUGGUGGCGGAUGCUGUAUGUAUGUAAUCGACCAAUUUACCCUCCGUGCUGCGUCUCCAUAUUUCUUCGUUUCUUGCAUCGAUUUCUUGGUGCUGCACAGUAGCUAUUCUGGCUGCAGGGCGGGUCCCGCCGGAGAUUACAUCGGGAUCACUGGCCAAGCAAUAGUGCCGAAGCAAAAUAUCAUUAGACACACACUGUGUGCUUGUUACAUCAAGCUCGCAUCCGCAUCUAUCGCCACGAGUAUUACUAUAGCAAGUAGUAUUCUGUUGUUCCACGUAUCGAUUUUCUAAAUUCAUUACCGUACAUUUAGAUAUACACUAUAUGGAUAUACAAAAUCUGUCUAAAAAAUAAAAAACGGUUCAAUUACCGUCAGUCGGCAAGCAAGAGAUGGAUGACUCGCACACCCCUCUCGUUUCACUUAUCCACGUCCAUUCAGAUUCAGACCGGCCAUAAUGCAGCUAGAUUUGCUACUACUCCCUCCCUCCGUUCCAAAUUGCAGGUCGUUUUGAUUUUUCUAGGUUCAUAGAUAUUAUUACGCACCUAGAUAUACACUAUAUCUAAAUGCAUAAUAAUAUCUUAAAAAUUCUAAAACGACCUACAAUUUGGAACGAAAUAGAAGAAGUAGAUCUACAAUUUGGAACGAAACAGAAGGAGCAGGUUGUAAGCCACCCGACCGCAAUUUUCCAGCUCAACCGCAACUAGAGUGAUCUCCGCCGUUGGAUAUAUAUCUCGAGUCUGCAGAGAAGAAAGAAAGCAUACGCGUAUACAAUAUUAGUUAGAUAGGUAGAAUAAUAAUCUGGGGUACGCAACGUAAUUAAGGGGCCUGGGCAAGAAAUUUGGAGGCAAUUCAAGUCGGAUGGGAUAACAACGUUGAUCCAUCAAUAAUUUAUUUGAGAAGAUGCUCUCUCUUCCUCCGGUGAGCCUUAGGCCGGCAUCUUCCGUCUCCGUCUCCGUCUCUGUCGGCGGGCCCGGCGGCCUAGCUAGGUGGUUUUCCUUCCCUUCCUUGCUGCAUUGCGUCGUCGAUCAAUCAUUGCGUGGCGAUAUUAUUAUUAGCAGCAGCUAAACUUGGAACUGAGUGUGUGGCUCAACUGGCAGCAGUGAUCAGCUUCCCAUCCAUCCCAUGUCAGACAUCAUCAGCCAUCGGCCGUAGAAUAAUGAUGGAUGGAGUAGUAUAUUGUUAAUUUGCCUGUCAAUUAGUAUGUGCUGCGAAGAUGACACCCCUCAACAAGCUAAGUUAUUUCGGAGAGACACAUGCAUUAUUUUUAGAGCAGCCAACAGGACUUACCCACACCUUUGAGCGAAUGAUUUAGGCACCUAUCAGCACACAUCGUGUUCUGCAAAUGAAUGAAUAAGAACUCAAGCAUACUAGCAUGCACGGAUAUAUAGAUGAUAAGUUGAAGGCUCUGUCAAACUAACUAACUAAUUCAGCACAAUGAUCAUGCAGGCAAUUUCUGUCAGCUAAGAGAAGCAUCUGGCUGACAUAGAAAAUGACACGCUUGACAGCAUGUAGAAUGUGGUGGUGAAUCCCUGACAUGUCCAGUCCUCAGGUAAGAGCACAAUUUACCUCUUGAGACGUCACUGCAUGCUGAGAUAAUCCAUCCUGUCAGAGCUCACCCCACAGACGAUAACUUGCAAAUGACUCUCACAAUAUAAAUAAAAUAUUAUUAGAACCACAACAAAUCCUUACAGCACAGCAUGUAAUAUUCCAGGUGUGACCUGGAUCCAAGGCAAACAAGGGAGGAUGCUUGAUGCCAUGGUAUGGUCCAAGCAAUUCCACUGCAACGUACAGUGCUUCUUCUUCUCCCUUGAUGCGAUGCAGUCGUGGUCAUGGCAGAACCGCGCGCGCGCGGCCAGGUGAGCCCACAUGUGUGUGCAAUGUGCAAUGUGCAUGUGCCAACCCAUUUUCCCUCCUGUCUCCUGAAUAAAAAUAUCCAACGUCACUAAUUGGAUUGGGGAGGGAGAUCAGAGGAGCCAAAAAAUAUCCAACAGGGAGGGAGCCCAUGUGGAGGCUGCCUGCUUGCCAAGUGUGAUGUGAGCGCCGUGCUUGCCAUGUGUUGAUGAGCUAGUCCACCAUAGCAUAGACAAACAAAUAAUCCUCCUCCUCCUACCUGGCUCUUACCCUGUCUUCUUGUACCAAAACAAAGCUCCCACCAAAUCAGCCCUCUUCUUCUUCUUCUUCUUCUUCUUCUUCUUCUUCUUCUUCUUCUUCUUCUUCCCCGUCUCGUCUCGAAUCGGAACGAAUUUGUUCCAGUAUAAUUGUUGGUUGUUUCAUUGUCAAUUCUUGUUGGAAGCUUUAGCUCUUGCCCUCUUGGAGAUGAGGAUAGAGGUAUGUGUACGCAUGCAUGUAUGCGGCUACUAUACUUUGUAGUAGCUAGCUACUAGUUGAUACUUUUAGCAAGCAAUCAGUAUAAUUGAGCUCCAAUUCUUCCUCUUGUUCUUGUUGCCCCUGCUUCAAUUCGCAAGUUGAGUGCUCGGAUCUCCUAUUAUCUAUAGUACUGUAGUUUUCUUGGUGGAAGAUUUUUUAUUCCUCCGAUCCAGCUAGCUAGAUCCACCGUACAUACCUCUCGAGCAAUUCUCAAUUUCAGAGCAAUCGACCUGCUGCUGGCUUGAAUCUUUCCACUGCAUUCAGUGAAAUUAAAGGAUCUCCAAUCCAAGCCGAUAAUGGCGAUGGAGCCUGAGUUGAAGGUCGCGCUGGGUUCCGCCGCGUUCGCCAUCUUCUGGGUGCUGGCGGUGUUCCCGGCGGUGCCCUUCCUCCCGAUCGGCCGCACGGCGGGUUCCCUGCUGGGCGCGAUGCUGAUGGUGCUCCUGGGCGUGAUGAGCGCCGACGAGGCGUACGCGGCGGUGGACCUGCCCAUCCUGGGCCUGCUGUUCGGCACCAUGGUGGUGAGCGUCUACCUGGAGCGCGCCGACAUGUUCCGGCACCUUGGGCGGGUGCUCUCGUGGCGGAGCCGCGGCGGGCGGGACCUGCUGGUGCGGACCUGCGCCGUGUCGGCGGUGGCGUCGGCGCUCUUCACCAACGACACCUGCUGCGUGGUGCUGACGGAGUUCAUCCUCAAGAUCGCGCGGCAGAACAACCUGCCGCCGCGGCCGUUCCUGCUGGCGCUGGCGUCCAGCGCCAACAUCGGCUCCGCCGCCACGCCCAUCGGCAACCCGCAGAACCUGGUGAUCGCGGUGCAGAGCCGCAUCCCCUUCGGGCGCUUCGUCCUGGGGAUCCUCCCCGCCACGCUCCUGGGCUCCGCCAUCAACGCCGCCAUCCUGCUCUGCCUCUACUGGGGCCAGCUCGACGGCGGCAGCAAGCCCGCGCCCGAGGAGGUGGCCGUCGCCAACUGCUUCGUGCCCACCGAGGUGGUGGAGGAGGAGGACGUGACGUCGCACCGGUUCACACCCGCCACCAUGUCGCACCUGCUGCUGCUUAAUAAGCCGGUCAAGCAGCCGGCGGAGGAGGAGCCCGUCAUCAAGCAGCCGGCGGAGGACGAUGCCACCGUCAUCAAGCAGCCGGCCGGAGCUGUGGCCAACGGCAACGGCAUCCACCAGAGGCGCGGCAAGCAGGAUGAUCAUAAGGAGCAGUGGCAGUCGCAGUCGCCGGAGGAUAAGGAUAACGGGGACGAAGAGGACGACGAGGAGUGGCAGAGCAGGUUGUGGAAGGCGUGCGUGUACGUGAUCACGGCGGGCAUGCUGGUGGCGCUGCUGCUGGGGCUCAACAUGUCGUGGAGCGCCAUCACCGCGGCGCUGGCGCUCAUCGUGCUCGACUUCAAGGACGCGCGGCCCUGCCUGGAGAAGGUGUCGUAUCCUCUGCUGCUCUUCUUCUGCGGGAUGUUCAUCACCGUGGACGGCUUCAACAAGACGGGCAUCCCCAGCGCAUUCUGGGAGAUGAUGGAGCCCUACGCGCGGAUCGACACGCCCACCGGCACCGUCAUCCUCGCGCUCGUCAUCCUCCUCCUCUCCAACGUCGCGUCGAAUGUACCCACAGGUAUGGGUAUGCAUUUGCAUUUGCAUUUCCCUUGAAUGAAUUGCAUUUGAAUUGUUUGAUGAAUGAAUUGAAUACGUAGUUCUGCUGCUCGGCGCCCGGGUGGCGGCCUCCGCCGCGGCCAUCUCCCCCGCCGCCGAGACCAACGCGUGGCUCCUCCUCGCCUGGACCAGCACGGUGGCCGGCAACCUGUCCCUCCUGGGCUCCGCCGCCAACCUCAUCGUCUGCGAGCAGGCGCGCCGCUCCCAGCAGUACGGAUACACACUCUCCUUCCUCAGCCACCUCCAGUUCGGCUUCCCGGCCACGCUCGUCGUCACGGCCAUCGGCCUGCUGCUCAUCAGAGGCUACUGAUCGAUUAUAUUGAUGAUCCGCCCCAUGUAUGUGUAUGUGUAUGUAUAUGGAAAUAUGGAAUGGGAUAUGGAAAUACUACGGUGAUACUAUAUGUAUAUGUGUACAGGGAAUGGGGGAACGAAACAAAUUAAAUGUGUCCCAGCUUGUAUUUUGUACUACAGGAAAGAAAGAUUAUUCAUUGGUUCCGUUGCCUUGCCUCCCGAUGGGGUGACGAGGGCACGCUGCUUAGUUUGGAGGCGUUUUGAGCUCUAGUGCAUUUUAGUGGUCAAGGAAUUAAGCUCUACAUUUUGUAGUAGCAUAUCAUACAUAUACCACAUUAUAAAAAAGGGUACUGUAUGCAUCCUGUUUUAGCAGUCUACUAUCUGUUGUCCUUCCCAAUACUACUUGAGCUACUCCCACUCCCCAUAGAUGUCAAAGAUCAAUUAGUACCUAAAAAUUAAAAAAAAAACACAUAUGAACAACCAUGAAAUUAUAGUUCCCAUCUAAAACUGACAGAAUCUGAAUACAUCUUUAGCAUUUAUCUGAGCAAGCGGAGCCAGGAGCAUGUUACGAAGGAGCAGGCGGAGCCUAUUUUUUUAUAAUUUUAUUUUAAUUUCAAAUCUAAAACUAGUUUGCUGAGUGUCCGAAGGAUUGUACUUGGUAAACACUCUUGCACUCGGCAAAUCUAUUAUUUCCGAUAGUACUGCAGGUUGUUAGCACCUCCAAGUUGAAAUAAAUAUGUCGCAGAUUGUAACAAUCCACAUGCCGUAUGGUAUGGUAUUAUAUGGAAGUAGAAUACAUCUAAUCCAGUAUUGUUACUCUGCCUGAUUUUUUUUUUGUUUUGCAUUCUAUUUCUACCGUGGGCCCGGGUGUAAAUAAAAAAACGGGACGGGGGACUCGACCAGGGAAGGGAAGGGUUUUCCUCUCCUGCUCUCCCUCCGCCUCGUUCUACCCCCUUUGCCCGCCACGCCGCAAUCUCCUCCGCCUCACCGCCGGCCGCCUCACCGGCUGGCGACACGCCCUUCCGUCCGCCAAGUCUUCGCUCUCGCUCGUCCAACGGCGCGGCCCUCCUCUCCCCCGCCCUCUGCUGCUGCUCAGCUUGCGUGCGUGGAGCUGAGAUCCAUCCGGGCUCGGAUCGAUUCCUCCUCCGGCUGGUGAGUAACCCUAGCUUGCUACGGCUGUUAGAGCUAGGGUUUCGUCGUGUUCUAGGGGCCUUUCGUUUGCCGUGACGGGGAGAAUCCAAACCCAAAUCUCUCCUCCGCAUUCAGUUAGCUGCGUUUUUUUUUUGCUGCGUCGUUCCCCGUGCCCACUCGCCCAUCUACAGUGCGAUUAGGUGCUUGUUCGUCAGUGCGCAACGCCAAUCUGCCAUUGGUGCGUCUGCAGUGUGGUCGGCCCUACGCUGAUAAGUUUUUUUCGUGACAGGGCCUGCCUCUCGAGACUUGAGUAUUUCGCAAGGAUGUCCUGGUGCACGAUUGAGUCUGACCCUGGUGAGCAUCGUGUCUCUUGAUCGUUACUGUCCGCAUUAUUCUUCCAAAUCAUUCCUGUCUGUAUAAUUCUUCCAAAUCAUGGUAGGUCUAUCUAUCUCAAUGUUGCACAUGUGUAGUAUGUUCUCCUUUUAUUUUCCUGCAGGUCUGAGUUGUGCGCAUCAUGCGUUUUGUGUGUUUUGCUCAUAAGGCUACUGGGCUCGUUUAUACUUGAUAUGUCGUCAAGUGAAAAUUUAUAUCCAUGUGGCUUCUCCUUUUCUUUCAUGACUUUAUUCAUCAUCUUUUUUCGAGCCAUUGAGCAUCUGUUCUCCCCCACCUACCCCUCCAUUGUAGCGUGAGCAAACAAAUUGUUUCACCAGUUAUCACACUGUUGACAUUAUUACCCAUCGCAUCAUGGGUAGCUCUGAAUUUUGUUAUAUUAUGUUCCCCCCUUCUUUCCUGAAGUAACAAUCUAUUGAUGACACAUUUUUUGGUAUACUUACCUUUAUUUCUACUCCUUUUAUUGAUAUUUAAUUCAAACCAUUGCUUAUGUUUCACUCGAGCAGGUGUUUUCACCGAGUUGAUCCAGCAAAUGCAAGUGAAAGGUGUGCAGGUUAGAUUCCAGGGCUCUUUAGCAUUCCUCGCCUGAACAUUUAAGUCUUAUAAAUUGGAAUAUCUAUCAAUUAUUGUUCAUAGUUUUCUCAUCCUUUGAACUAUUAUUGUGUCUGCAAUGGUAAUAUGCACUCGGCAUGUCCAUUCAGUUGCAAUUUACUCUAGUUUAUCUGAAGAUUUGUUUCCUCAUGUUGUGAAACUGGCAGUACCCUGGAACUCUAAAACUACCAUAGUACCAUACGAUUUGACUUGUAGGAUAAGCACAACAAAAUUCGGCAUAGCUUAGCUCUGAUGAACUAGUAUGGCAUCAAAAUUGUGAAGAUAUGCACUUAAAUUCAAAGAACAAUACCUGAUAAUUUGCUGUCAAUAGCUACUCUUUUUUCCAUGCAAUUGUCAACCCCAUUUCAAAAGAGGAGAGGGCCUUGAGUGAAACAUUGUUCUAAGCUUGCUUAUUCACUUGCAUCUGUUCAGUAUGGGACCUUGUCACAUGGCGACAUGGUCAGCAACCAAGUUUAUAUGACUAUCUGAGGCCAUGGUUUGAUCCUUUAGUUUGAUUAUGUUAGUACUUCAGUUACCAGAAUAUGUAUAAUGAUAGGUGCUUCUAGAAAUCUGUAGGGAACACUCUUUUUUUCAAGUUAUCCAUAUGAAAACCCAGGCAUUUGUAUAUCAUACUUUGGAUGGAUCUUUUUAACACCUCUUAUGUACUUGUCAUGCUGUCUUUAUACUUUGGGAUGUCAUUUUUGAUGACCGUUAUGUACUUGUUAUGCUAUUUUUAUACUCUGGGAUGGGUCUUUUUAACACGCCUUGUAUAAUUGUUAUAAUUAAACAGGUGGAAGAGCUUUACUCUCUUGAUGUGGACUCUCUUAGUGAACUGCGGUGAGAAUCAUUAUUUUUAGUGUAAUCAAUAUCUGUUCUCUCAGUUUAGUUAACUCAUCCUUCAUCUCCACCUUUCAUAGGCCAAUAUAUGGGCUAAUUUUUCUCUUCAAGUGGAUACCUGGGGACAAGGAUGAACGACCUGUUGUCAGAGAUCCUAAUCCAAACCUUUUCUUUGCUCACCAAGUUAGUUCCAUUCUGGUCCUUUUGCUAACCAUGUUUGCUGUAGUACUCUGUGCUUAACAAGUUAAUCUAUUUGCUCAUUUCCAGGUGAUCAAUAAUGCAUGUGCUACUCAAGCUAUUCUCUCAGUUCUCAUGAACCGCCCAGAAAUUGACAUAGGUCCAGAGUUAUCUCAAUUGAAGGAAUUCACAGGAGCUUUUACACCUGAUCUGAAGGGCUUAGCCAUCGGCAACAGCGAAUCCAUUCGGACAGCUCAUAACAGUUUUGCAAGGCCAGAGCCAUUCAUUUCUGAUGAGCAGAGAGCCGCGACUAAGGAUGAUGAUGUGUACCAUUUCAUAAGCUAUUUACCUUUUGAAGGUGUGCUCUAUGAGCUGGAUGGGCUGAAGGAAGGGCCUGUAAACCUUGGGCAGUGCGGUGGUCUUGAUGACCUCGAUUGGCUACAGAUGGUGCAGCCAGUCAUUCAAGAAAGAAUCGAGCGUUAUUCACAGAGUGAGAUUAGGUUCAAUCUUAUGGCCAUCAUAAAGAAUAGGAAGGAGGUGUACAGUGCCGAGCUGGAGGAUCUGGAGAAGAGAAGGGAGCAAAUUUUACAGGAGAUGAACAAGACCUCCGCCACAGAAUCUUUGAACAACUCGCUCACAGAGGUGAUAUCAGCAAUUGAAACUGUCAGCGAGAAGAUCAUCAUGGAAGAAGAGAAGUUCAAGAAGUGGAAGACGGAGAACAUCCGGAGGAAGCACAACUACAUCCCUUUCCUGUUCAACUUGUUGAAGAUGCUUGCAGAGAAGCAGCAGCUAAAACCUCUGGUGGAGAAGGCCAAGCAGCAAAAGUCGUCGAGCCCAAGCACAAGAUGAUGGUGACAUGCCGUUUGAUGUAUCAAGUGCCUAGGGUUAAUUGCAUCUUGCUCUCUGUGUGCGCAUUAUCUUAUAUCAGAUACAUUGCCUAGUUGGCAGCUUAGAGAAAUCAUUACUAAGGUUAUAGACCAUUUUGCUCGCUGUGGUGUGUUAUCAACUGCGCCAGUUUUGGUGAGCACGCACGAAUUGGUUGUUUAUUUUGUCAGGUUAUUAAUUGUUCUUCUGGAUUAUGAAAUGUGUUGAAGGCUGUGGAUCGUUUUGGAUAUUCCUUUUGAGAUGGCCGCUUGCUAAUCUUUAUCAGAUAUAUACCGUGAGUCCACUGGAUCCAUUGUUAUCUCAGGAGUGAUUAAUCUAAUGUUGCUUGUCGGGAUUGCGCACGAGCAAACGUGACCCGUUUAGCUAGGUAGCUCACUUAUUAGAACUAGACUGCUUCACCCCCAAAACUAUAAAACCGGGUAGUUGUCACUCUCAGGGGGUGUUUGGAUGGGGGUAUUAAACUUUAGGAGGGGUCACAUCGGAUGUUCGGAUGCUAAUUAGAAGGACUAAACAUGAGCUAAUUAUAAAACUAACUGCAGAACCCCUAUACUAAUUCGCGAGACGAAUCUAUUAAGCCUAAUUAAUCUAUCAUUAGCAAAUGGUUACUGUAGCACCACAUUGUCAAAUCAUGGACUAAUUAGGCUUAAUAGAUUCGUCUCACGAAUUAGACUCCAUCUGUGUAAUUAGUUUUGUAAUUAGACUAUAUUUAAUACUCCUAAUUAGUAUCCAAACAUCCGAUGUGACGGGUACUAAAAUUUAUGGGGUGUAUCCAAACACCCCCUCAGCCACAUACAACUAUUCAAUGGAGCCCCCUUUCUGGUUUUACACGGUGGUUUUGCCAGCUGGCGAGAUGACGUGGACACAGACGCUGACAUGGACCAGCUGACAUGUGGGCCUAGGUAGCCUGUCGUCUCCUCCCGUCCUCUGCCGUCGCCCGUUCCUCUCCUCCCCUGACCCGAGCAGGGGAAGCAAUCUCACGAAAAGCUAUGGCGCCGCCGCACCAGGGACGCCUCAGCUCUGGUAGUGGUGGGUCGACGCAGCGCUUCACGUGCCCUUCUCAUCGCAGAGCAAGGAGCAUAGGCGCGCGCGGUGGCCGGGGAAGGUGGGCGUGGGUACGGCCACUCGAUUUCGGCGAAUGGAAGCGCUCACGACCACCGGGGGAGGAGCACGCGGCUGCAGCACCCAGUUCCCCUCCGCGCUGAUAAGUGAACGGCCUCUUUGGUCGGCCAUGGAGCUCGCCGACGCUGCUCCUUCCGCCUCCCUCGGCCUUCAUUGCCACAACUCCCUUGGCCAUGGGGCUUGUUGCCGCAGCACCGCGUUUAGCUCGUGCACCUUGAGCUUGCUGUUCGCAUGGAGGGGCUUGCUGUUCGCAUGGAGGAGCUUGUUGCAGUAAGUAUUGGGACCUUUUUGGCAUCUGUGUAAUUGGCCGUGGGCUCAGCGAGGAGGAUGGAUUUAACGACAAUGGCGACCUUGCUCCAGUGGCCGGAGUUGGGGAAGAUGACUCCGGCCCGUCGUUUGCUGCACGGAGAGGGUGAAGGAGUGGUGGGGCUGCGCAGAGGAGGUUGUGGUGGUUCUCCCUACAGCAGAUUUGGGGCAAGGGGAGUUGAGAGGAGGAGGAGGAGCACAGGAGCUCGGUGGGAGGCCCCAUCGGCUCCUUGCUUUGACCGGAGGGGAAAAUGACCGAGGAAGAGAGAAGAAAAAGAAAACGGUUAUGACAUGUGGGUCCAGUGUGACAUGGAUUGCCAACAUGGCAAAACCACCUAAUGAAAUCACCACAGGGGUAGAUUAGACGGUUUUGCAAAGGUACCUGGUUUUAUAGGUUGGGAGGUAUAAUAGUUUUAUAAAAAAGAUCGGUGUGUUUUCCGAAUUAUUCGUGUGGUUUAAAUUUGGAUAUAUGAAAAAAAGGUAUACGUGAUUUGGUUUCUGAGUGGAUUUUUUUUUUCAAAAAUGUCCAUGAUGAGUAGCAACUACUCGUACAGUAGUAGUAGUCAGUGUGUGGGAAGCAGAGGACGCCAAGCCCAAAAACAGAAAUCGGGUGGAUGUGGAUGGAUAAACUGAUAAAAAAGCCCAGCCCCUUCUCCUUCUUGGAAUCGAUGGCGUAGGCCCAGAGCGAUCUAGUUUUGCAUCUGUGUAUCUGCCUCCCUUCCGCUCCUCUCCUCCGCCCCCACCCCCACCCCCACCCCCACCACCGCCGCCUCCGCCCGCCCCCGCCGCCGCAGGCAGAAAGGAUGGAAGCCCCGGGCUCCCCCUACGCCUCCUCGCCGGAAUCCGCCCCCAAGCGCGCCCCACGCUCCCCCCCGCAGCAGCAGCAGCAGCAGCAGCAGCCCUCCGAGGAAGGAGGUAACCACGCAUCUCCCUCUCCGGCACACGCACGGGUUCGCUCCUCCGCAUCUGCACGUGGCCCCUGAGUGUGUGUGCCUGGAUCCGUGAGAUCUGGGCCUCCGCCUCCUGCUCUGAUGCCGAGAUCUGCGAGCAAUCUGUUGCCGGUGCGAUAUUGCGUCGCGUCGCCAUUGAUAGACAUCAAUUUGAGCUGUGCGCCGCGUUUUCCAGUGGAGAUAGGAUCCGUUAUACGUGGGUUUGCCCUAGCAUCAAUGCAUAGGGCGUUCGACUUAGUGCUGGUUUAUGUGUAUGCACCUGUUUUUAUUGCUGAUGCCGUGCCAAUACAUACAUGUACCGGAAGCAGCAUCAAGGGGGAUGAUAUGUGGGCGUGGCAGCCUUUGGUUAGGACAGUAAAUGCUGAUGGUAGACAACUAGACAUCAUCUUCUGAACACUACUGCAAAAUUAUUCAUCCUCUCCUCAUAAGUAAUACUAGUAGUUUCAGUUACACAUACACUACUGCUGCAAUUAAGUGUUGGGCAUUGGACCAGAAGACGCCAAUUAAAUUAAUCUUGUAGUUAGGGGGGGGGGGACUUUCUGCUAUGGACACAUGUUUUUGUGAAAACAUGCUAUUGUUGAUGCUUAAAUCUUGGUGCUCGGGUCAAUUCUGUGUAAGUACUUGCCCUUCAGUAGUCUUCUUAGUUUGAAAAAUGCGCAGUGGAAACGGAUGCUGGAGUAGUCUUUGGCGAAAUUUUUAGGCCCCAAUAGAUCAGAUCAAGAAUGAUUCGUAGACUAAAAUUGGUUACUAUUGACAUUUAUAGCCCCAAUCAUACGAGAAGGGAUCGAGUCCAGAAUGAGGAUAUACGUGAUAGGUUAGGGGUAGCACCUAUUGAAGAAAAGCUUAUCCAACACCGGCUGAGAUGGUUUGGACAUGUCCAACGAAGGCCUCUGGAGGCACCGUAGUGGAACCCUAAGGCAUGACAGCAAUGUGAAGAUAGGCAGAGGAAGACCAAAAUUGACAUGGGAAGAGGCAAUAAAAGGAGAUUUGAAGGGAUGGAAUAUACCCAAAGAUUUAGCCCUAGAUAGGAGUGCUUGGAAACAGCUAUUCAUGUGAACCCUGAUUUGUGGCUCUUGUUGGGUUUCAACUGUAGCCUACCCCAACUUGCUUGGGAUUGAAAGGCUAUGUUGUUGUUGUUGUUGAAUUGACAUUUAUAAUCCUCUUGUCGAAUGAGCCCUCAGUCCUGUACACUUGUCCACAUAAUCAAUCCAGUUGGUCGCCUAUAUGAACCCACUAGCUUCCCUUCCCAACUUGUGAAGUAAUUUGGUCUGCUUAAAAUGCCUUUUUUUUUCUACUUAGUAUGCAGUGUGCAUUGGUUCUGUGAAAAUAUAUUAGUUACAUCCAAUUUGAGGGUACAUACCGCAUAGAAUUCUCUUAUUUCAUCAACUUUUUUAUGGGUAAUAUGGAUGCACUUGCUUACUGUUUUCUGCAACUGUAAUUUUGUAUAUUAACUGAAAUUAUUUAAGUUCAUAAAAAAAUAUCAUUAGGCUCAACUGAGAUAUAUACUCCACAUGAUGGUUACCAGUUAGGGAUUCAACUCAUAAUGGCUUAGUUAUUCAGAUUAAAGUUGCUUCUACAUAAUUCUGAAUUUUCAAGUGAUGUUUCUUCUCAGAUGACAAGGAGAAGCCAACACAUUUGAGGUUCCUCGUGUCUAAUACCGCAGCAGGAUGUAUAAUUGGCAAGGGUGGAUCAACUAUCAAUGACUUCCAAUCCCAGUCUGGGGCUCGUAUUCAGUUAUCACGCAGCCAUGAAUUUUUCCCUGGUACAAAUGACCGAAUCAUCAUGGUGUCUGGACUGUUUGAUGAAGUAAUGAAGGCCAUGGAGCUGAUUCUUGAGAAACUUUUGGCUGAGGUAAAACAUGUUAUUUUGCAAGCGAUUGUUGAUGAUUGGAGAUUGAUGUUCUUCAGUUACUUUCUCAGGGUGAAGAAUUCCAGGAAGCUGAAGCUAGACCUAAAGUUAGACUUGUAGUUCCUAACAGCUCCUGUGGUGGGAUAAUUGGUAAAGGUGGAGCGACAAUAAAGUAUGUCUCUUUGUAAACCUGUUUUUUUUAAUUCUGUUGUGCUAGCAGUUGAUUUAUUCCCAUUGUGGUAGUUGCUUUACAAGCUGGUGCAAUAUAAUGAUAUCCUUUUCCUACUUUUUCCAAUAGUCUUCUACUUGUUUGAAUGGUAUUUUUCCCCAUAGUCCUAAAUAUCCCUGUGUGGGAACUUUCACGCUGAGUACGCCCCUACAGUCCUAAUAUCCUGUGACUUGUCUAUAUUUUCAUUUUGUAUUGCUUUGUUUUUUGUGUUACUCUGGACUAUGGAUGUUGAAAGUUGGUGUUCUCUUUUCACUUCAGGUCGUUUAUUGAAGAAUCACAUGCUGGAAUCAAAAUUUCACCACAGGAUAACAACUAUGCUGGUUUGCAUGAUAGGCUUGUUACUGUGACUGGAACCUUCGAUAACCAGAUGAAUGCAAUAGAUUUGAUAUUGAAGAAGUUAUCUGAGGAUGUUCAUUACCCACCUAAUUUGAGUUCCCCAUUUCCAUAUGCAGGUAGAAUCCUAGCAUUUCUGGCUACUUGAUGUUACCACAUGCUAACUGGGUUGCUUAUUUGAAAAUGUCUCAUCAUGAUGUCUUCCUUGUAUGUCUUUCAUGUACUGCAUCGGCAUUUCACGCCGGAUGAUACCAUUCAUGUCUUAAGAAAACAUAGCUGAGCUUGCUUGCGUAUUGACAUGUGUUAUUUGUAGUGCCAUCUGCGAGGCAGGGGCAAGGAUGAAAUUUCAAUUCUACCAUCGAGUCACAACUUUCUGUGUCUGAUUUCCUUCUUUCAAAAAUAUUCAGGUCUUACUUUCCCAAGCUACCCUGGUGUUCCUGUUGGUUAUAUGAUUCCACAGGUGCCAUAUAAUAAUGCUGUGAACUAUGGACCUAAUGGGUAUGGAGGAGGAAGGUACCAAAACAACAAGGUUCGUGUUUUUUCUGGGUUGCUCUGGUUGUUGUCGUGCAUCCCACUCGUGUGGAUUUAUUCUGUAUGUGAAUUGAGAUAUGCAUGAUACAUGCAUUCAGUCCAUCUGUGUUGAAAGUGAGCUUUCUAUGUUCUCUUCUGUUACGCAUUAGAGAAGUAGGCUGGAGCCUUGGAGGCCUGAUACGUGUCAUCUUUUAUCUAAUAGAAACACUAUUCUCUAGUCUGUGUAAUUAUUUUAUAUUAUCUAUUUUGAACAAAGUCAAUGAAAUGUCAUGGAGGCAAACUUUGGGAGGUCUCAUGAAUUUAAGGUGAUAUCGUACUAGCUCUGUCAUGGGCACUACUGAUCUUUGUCGACAUUAGAGUGCGACCUAAUAUUAGAAUGAUCUUAUGAGCCACAGUGUUGGUAUUCUCGAUUUAAUUCAUGCAUGCUAUCUUGCAGUUUGAUUACCCUGCCUUAAAAAGUUUUUACGCCAUAGAAUUAUGUGCAUGUAUUUCAUGACUAGACAAGACUGCUUGUAUGCUGAAAUGUUUGAAAUACUAUUAUGUUUUCUGUGAACGCCAUGCUUAAUUUUGGUUCGUUGAUGUUGCGCAUCUCUUGAAAAGUAUGGCUAUUGGUGAAAGGCGUGAAAGAACUUUCACCCAAUCUUACAAUUUAAUUGUUUCUAUAUCUUUGACAUAUCUACAUUGUUGGAUUUGAGUUCUAAAGAUCUGCUGCGAAUUCUGCAGCCCAGCACACCUAUGAGAUCACCUGCAAAUAAUGAUGCCCAAGAAUCUCUCACCAUUGGUGUGGCCGAUGAACACAUUGGUGCUGUUGUAGGUCGUGCUGGAAGGAACAUAACAGAGAUCAUUCAGGUAAUUGUACAUAUGAUUUGCAUUUGGUUUUACUGCAGCGGCAUCUAGUGACCAGUGUCAUAAGCUGUAUCUCCCAGUAUGAUUGAUAUUGCCAAUUGCUUGUGCCCUCUUAAAUCUCGUUUUGGCCAAGUAGUUUGCCGCUAAGUUAAGUAAAUAGUAUAUUCAGAAGCAAAAUAUUUUCCGUAUUACUAAUAUUUUGAGCAACUCUAAAUAAACUGCUGCUGCCUGCCUUUGGUGUUGAACUGUUGAUGCUGUUGCUGCCUUCGGUGUCAAUGCAUCAAGUUUGCAGUAAAAUCAGUCAUGACAUUAGGUUUGCAGUAAAAUCAGUCUCUCAAUAAACACUUGCAAUUUGUUGUAAAUGCAGGCUAGUGGUGCAAGGAUCAAGAUAUCAGAUAGGGGAGACUUCAUAUCUGGGACAUCUGACAGGUACUUACUUCCUUUGGCACAUGGUCACCGCAAGUGGGACACUACGAUUUGCUAACUUUUGACUCACCGGUUCAGGAAAGUGACGAUUACUGGAACAUCUGAAGCUAUCCGGACCGCCGAGUCCAUGAUCAUGCAGAGGGUGUCAGCCAGUUCAGAGAGGUGAUGAGCCCCUCUUGGAAUGGAGUCGGAGCGCUUCUCACUGCGCAUGUUUGAUGCAAGUUAGGAGGACGUGAUAAUUUGUUUUUUGUUUUCUUUUUCCCUAGCAAAGCUCGAGAGAAAUCAAAGUUAUUAUUGUUUGUUGCGUCCGACCGAUGGUUUUAUGUUAGUAUAAACUGGUAGUAGAAGAUAAUUAGGUGCGCCGUCGUUUGGAUUGAUUUCGGAAUAGAGCGAGUUUUAUAUUUCGUGAGGGUCCAUAACAAGACGCUGGUCUGCCUAGCGCUGCCUGCCUUGUGUUAGUUUGAGAAUUCCAUUCCGUUGAUCAAGGAUAGAAGAAUAUUUAUUGAUGGUAGAGAGGACAUGAGGAGGACUGGUUUGCUUUCGCUGUGCUGUUGAUGGUACCCCAAAUGGCGUUACUAUUGCUACAUGUCUUUUUUCUUUUGGAAAAUAAAUGAAAUGACUGGAACGUUUUUUGAAGCUUUCGCUCGAGUGCCCACCUGAGUCAGAUGGUUUCGGCGGGCGGUGAGGAAUGACUAGGAUGAGAUGCAAAAGCUCCCCUAUCAUGCGUGGAAAGUCCCAAGUACUUGAAAGGCAGAUUCGUCGCGUGUACAUAGACAGUUUCCAUUUUUUUUUCCUCUUCUGAUUAGAGCUAGUUGUCGGCAGCUGUCAGUCUAUCCAUUAGUCCCAAAUUACUAUUUUUCUAAAUACAUAACUUUUAAUAUGCGUUUAGAUAUAUACUAUGUCUAGAAACAUGAACAAAAUUAUGUAUCUAGAAAAGCAAAACGAAUAGUAUUUUGGGACAGAGGGAGUAUUAUUUAGUCCAUUCCGUUUCAAUUUGUGUUGUUUUAAUCUUUCUAAAUUUAUUAUUUUUGCAAUGCACCUUAUGUCUAAAUGUACUAUAUAAAUAUAUAAAAUCUAAAAUGACCUUACAAUUUGAAGUGGAGGUAAUAUUAUAGAAAAAAAUACAAAAAUUACAUAUAUACUUAUAGAAAGUAACCAUUAUGUCAAGUUAUCAAAAACGUAUAUCCGUAGAGAAGUCGAGUUCUGCACGAUGUAAUUUCGCACAGUACUCUCUCUAUCCCGAAUUGUAAUUCGUUUUAACAUUUCUACGUUCAUAACUUUUACCAUGUAUCUAGAUAUAAUAUAUAUAUAUAUAUAAGUGCAUAGAAAAACUCUGAGUUUAGAAAUACCAAAACAAGCUAAGAUAUGAAACGUAGAGAGCAUCGUAUAAUUCUAUUCCGUGCCACCAUAUUUCAAGAAAUAUACUUACUUUCACUCAUUAAGUACGCGAUUAUGCCGUGCUUAUCGAGGUGGGCCCCGCCUGUAGGCUUCUAGAAGACUCCAGGCUAGGCCAGGCCUCGAGUCCACACACCAGGGGAGGGAGACGCGGUUGCACGGGCACCAGGCCCACCUCUUGUUCCUUCCUUCGUGGGGUGGUUGGUCGUCUCCCUCCUCACGCCGACGCCAAACCAAAAAAGCGCCUACCACCAGCGACUUCAACUUCCUCCUCCUCAUCGCCCGCCCGCCUUGUGUUCGCCGCCUCCACCUCACCCCCAAGCCUCCUCCCUCCCACGCCACCCCCAAACCCUAGCAACCCGAUCGGACCCAACCCGAUCCGCCCACCAAAAAAAAAU